rnacentral:rRNA from 1 species
AUUGAACGCUGGCGGCAGGCCUAACACAUGCAAGUCGAACGAGUGGCGGACGGGUGAGUAAUGUCUGGGAAACUGCCCGAUGGAGGGGGAUAACUACUGGAAACGGUAGCUAAUACCGCAUACUAUCGGAUGUGCCCAGAUGGGAUUAGCUAGUAGGUGGGGUAACGGCUCACCUAGGCGACGAUCCCUAGCUGGUCUGAGAGGAUAACCAGCCACACUGGAACUGAGACGCGGUCCAGACUCCUACGGGAGGCAGCAGUGGGGAAUAUUGCACAAUGGGAACGAGCCUGAUGCAGCCAUGCCGCGUGUAUGAAGAAGGCCUUCGGGUUGUAAAGUACUUUCAGCGAGGAAGCGUUACUCGCAGAAGAAGCACCGGCUAACUCCGUGCCAGCCGCCGCGGUAAUAC